UGGCUCUGUUUCCUGGGUGGUGGACUUAGCCUUUUCCACCUCUCCUCAGAUGAGCCUAGAGUAGACAGGN
rnacentral:snoRNA from 1 species